UUGGCUGUCCCUUCAUAACCAUAAGAUAAUUGAAACAAGGGGGGGGGGAAGGUUAAAAAAAACUUUUUUUUUUUAUCAGCCAGAGGUUAAUGCAAGUGUUUAACAGAUGCUUCACUAUUAAAAUAUUUCCCCCCAAGUCUCAAAUAUUGGACAAUCUCAAAUCAGGUAACAGAGGCAGGAAAGUGAGCAGGAAGGCUAAUACGGUUUUGUGAGGGAGACCGGAGAGCCGAGCAGCAGGCGCGAGGACCCCAUGAAGGGGUGGCUGGUAGCCAACAAGUUCUUUUUGCGGAGGAGGAUACACCGCGCGGCUGGGAAGGGUGCUUCCUUUGACCUGGCACAGGUCGGAAACGCCAGACUCGGUGGCUUUUUACUUAGCCAUUGCGUUACCUCGGUCAGAGCUGUUUGGAGUGGCUCAGGGACACCAGCCCCAUCGGAGACUUUGGAAGAUUUCAAAGUGCUGGGUACCUCGAUUCCCCGAAUCUGUGGUGUGGACGGUAUCGGUGUUCCCCUGGUUUAACUAGCCUGUUUGAAGGCGCAGUUCAUUCUUAGUGAAGUACAACUGAAACCAGUCUUCCCUACCCUCUUGGGGGUCUUCGCUUUCCCAUUCUACAUCUGCCUGUGACUUCAGGAAGAAACUUGAUUGGCCAAGCUACCAGAAGAUCCAGCCUGACAGCGAUUGGUGCCAGUCGGCCAGGUGUGUCCUUCCCGCGCCUCUACCUCUCGCCAGGGCAUCUCUUCUGGCGGACUCGCAGUAUCCAUGCUCGCUGCCCUGAAGCCGCACAAAACCGCGGCUCCGCGACGAUCGUCCGGGCCUCAGCCCUGCUGGAUGAUGGGCAUAGGGCAGCAAGAUGCAGGGCUGCGGUAGCGGCCCGGGAAUGUCGGGUGGCAAGAGGCGCGGCCAGAGCCUGCGUCUCAGAUUAGACUCCGGCUCCCCAGCCACUGCUGUGGCUUCUGGGCCGCCCCCCUUCCUUCUGGUUAAAUUCUCGUUUUGAUCCCCACCCUCUCGGUUCCCGACACGGAGGAGGCGAGUUAUCCGCCCUUAGGCCAGGGGAGGUCACCGCUCGGGGAGGGGUGGACCCUCUGCUUCGCUAGCGCAUCUCCGAGGACUUUUCGCCCCAGGCGGGCAGGAAGGGGUUAAUGACUCCCCUUUCCCACCCUCACUUCGGAGCCCCUGGUGCUGGGCGAAGGCCACUGCUUCCCUCUUGAGGUCUCAUUAGGGAAACCCUCACCGCUAUUUUCAACAUUUCCUCAAUCAAGUGCCUUUAAAUAGAGCUGCACAAACAAAUUGGCGGCAAAAGCGUAGAUCUUGUCACGAUUGAGACCAAUCCAAUAUUUCAGCCUUGUUUGCUUUGCAAUUACGGGUUGGCUUGUGGCUGCGGUGCCACCGGGGCAAAUCUGCAGCCGUCCGCUUUCUCCUCCGCACCCUGGGUGGGUGGAGGAAGCGACCCGCGGAGGCAGUGCUGGGAGAGGAGGGGGCGGCACGGGAGAGGCGGGCGGUGGGCGGGGGCGCCUUUCUGGACCCCCUUGCAAAGGGCGAGCAGAGCAGUGUCAGAGGAGACAGACAUUUUAGGUUCCUGACUGAGCCACUGAGGUAGAUACAAUAACAAUAAAGUGCAUCCUUCACACAU